UUGCGCGUGCACAAGAGAGAGAGAGAGAUCGCGAAAGCAUAAGAGUGAGCUCGUGAGGGAGAGGCCGAGAGAGGGAGGUGGCUGCGCUCGGCCAUGGGAGAGCAGCCUUGAGUUGCUGUUGCAGUGACCGAGGGAAGCAAGGCUAAUCGGCCAUGGGGACGCGAAGAAGCAGCAACAACCAUCAAUGGUGAUCGACGAGGUGCUCGUAACGGGAGUAAGAAACGGCCAGAAGCUUGGAGGUCGGCCAUGGCAGCCGGCAGUUGCAGCGAAGCAGAGCAGCGGCGGUCAUGUGAGUGUCGUAGUGGAGGCCGGUGAUGGAGGUAGCGGCAGCCCGAGGGCGGCCAAUGGCGGCCGAGGCUGCUACCAGACAUCGCCAAUGGUGGCUGGAAGCGACCGAGAAGCAUGAGUUGCUGUGCGCGGCGGUGUUGUGUGCAGGAUGGAGGCGCGCGGGGGAGCCGUGGCUGCUCACGGCGGAGGCAGCGGCGGCCUGCGGAGCAAGGCGGUGGCUGGAGGAGGCUGCCAUGUGUGAGGAAGAAGAAGAUGAGAAAAGGAAGGAGGCUCGCGCAGGGGAGAGGCGCGGGGAAGAAGACAGUGAAUAGUGGAAAAAUAAAAUAAAAAGAAAGAAAAAGGAAAAUAAGGAAAGUAUGGAAAAUAAGGAAAAAUAUGACUAAAUCCAGAAAAAUUCCAAAAAAUUGGGGAAAAGUCCUGGAAAUUUUAUUGAGGCUCGUAAAGCAUAUCGGAAGCUCGAGAAUGGGAUUUCGGGCAUGAGAUGGCAGCUCGGGAAGCAACGUCGGCGUGGGCGAUUGGCCGAUUUUUCCUUCUAAUUGAAUGAGGUUCGGCCGGGUAGACGGUGAUCCUAGAAGAGCUCAGAGUUCGGGCUGGAGUUCGUGCCGAAGCAGAGACGAGGCUUCGAGCUAGAUGAUUCAAGUCCAGAUGCAAGCAGGGAUGGUGCCGGGAGGCUGUUGUGGCAAUUAGCUAGUUGCCUGAGAUGUGAUGUUGUGUAAUCUCCUGUAAUUUUUAUAUGUGUUCAUGUAAUUGAAUGUAAACGAUAUUGAGCACUAGAUGUAUUUAAUUGUUGAAAUCAUCGUAGUGUGA